rnacentral:antisense_RNA from 1 species
CUUGAGCGCCCCGAGCCACAGCGGCCGGCCGCCGGGCCGCUCCUUCCCGUACGCGGCCUGCAACGCCCGCGCCUC